UGUAACUUAAUAGGUCAAUGGUCAGAACUGAAUGAUAAACAAUAAUAAACACAAAUUUGCUCGGCAUCAUGCCUUGUUGUCAUUAUACUCAAAAUGUACUUCAGUUUUAAUAACAAAAGUUGGGGUUUCAUCAUACAGUAUAUGACACACAUGCAUAAUAUAUGCAUGCUUCUAACCAGCUAUCUGACAGGUUUAAUUUUCAACAUUCCCAAGCCAUUUUAAUAUAUUCUCAAGAUUUGCCAAUCAGGUUUUCCAAAUAAGUACAUGAUUAUAUCACAUCACUGUUCAUUUUACAUUCUUCAAGUAGAUGCAGCCUAUAGGUUUACAGUAUUUAUUGUGUAUCACCAUGCAGAAAAUAUCUUGCAAUAUCUUGUUCAAAACCGUCAAAUCCAAGGUAAACGGUAGCCAGCCAUGUUACCAGUAAGAUUUCUAGUUUGUUGACUUUGAAAUGGCCAAGGUUUAACUCGAGUAUAAAUAUUUAUACUUUAUUGAAUAGCCCCUGUGUUUCGCUGACCAGGUAUUGCUGCUUUUGUCGCACUAUAAGAUGUUCUUUUGCCCGCCAAAGGGCUUAUUUUACGCAUAAUUGUAUUUCUAAAUUGAUCAUUCUUGACUUUAAAUUCCAAAAGCCACACGAGAAGCAGAUUAAGACGUCUUUACAAGUCCAAAUUUAUCAUAAAUUGCAACAAAUGUUAAAUGCGUGCCUUCUCAUUCCUUGCGUAAAAAUAUGCCCAGUCAGCGUUUUUACCUGGAGCAACUCAGUUUACUUCCGCUUCCGGGGGCACCCACCAAUGUUCUUUGGUGUUCCGGUUUGGAUUAUCCCGGCUUCUGAAAGUACAGCCUAGUCCCUAGGCCUCUUAGUACGCCUAUUUCGCGUUUCUGCAUAUUAAUGAGGUGACGGUUCCUGAGUACGAGGUUGUUUUUACUCCAUCCUCGUCCCCAGGCCCAAGCUCUGGCGGCCCCUUGCAGCUCAGGAAAUACUUGAAAAACCAGACACAGAACAGCUGGGCAAUUUUUCGACGCUGACCAAAAAUAGCGCCUCAUUUCUUCUUGAG